rnacentral:rRNA from 1 species
UACGAAGGGGGCUAGCGUUGUUCGGAAUUACUGGGCGUAAAGCGUGCGUAGGCGGGUCUUUAAGUCAGGGGUGAAAUCCUGGAGCUCAACUCCAGAACUGCCUUUGAUACUGAGGAUCUUGAGUUCGGGAGAGGUGAGUGGAACUGCGAGUGUAGAGGUGAAAUUCGUAGAUAUUCGCAAGAACACCAGUGGCGAAGGCGGCUCACUGGCCCGAUACUGACGCUGAGGCACGAAAGCGUGGGGAGCAAACAGG